GAUGAACGCUGGCGGCGUGCCUAAUACAUGCAAGUCGAGCGAACAGACGCUGAGCUUGCUCCUCUGACGUUUGCGGCGGACGGGUGAGUCACGCGUGUAUCACCUACCUAUAUUUCUGGGAUCAUUUCGUAAAUCCGGAUCUAAUACCGGAUAAUAUCUUGAACCGCGUGGUUCAUUAGUUAAUGACGGCUUUUCUGUCUCUUAUAGAUGGUUCCGCGCCGCAUUAGAUAGUUGGUAGGGUAACGGCCUACCAAGGCUACGAUGCGUAGCCGACCUGAGAGGAGGAUAGGCCACACUGGAACUGAGACACGGUCCAGACUCCUACGGGAGGCAGCAGUAGGGAAUCUUCGGCAAUGGGCGAAAGCAUGACGGAGCAACGCCGCGUGAGUGAUGAAGGUCUUCGGAUCGUAAAGCUCUGUUAUUAGGGAAGAACAGAUGUGGAAUUAAAUAUGCACGUCUUGACGGUACCUAAUAAGAAAGCAACGGCUAACUACGUG
rnacentral:rRNA from 1 species